ACGUUGCCGUUUUCCUCCAACCAGCUUGCUGCUGGGAACUUUCCCUCCCAGCCUCCCACACGUCUUUGCUGGUGGGGCUGUGAGGCGGGCCGCAUGCCUCAGCUGGCGUUCCAAGCGGCUGCCUUGACUCACCCAACAGCGUGAGUACCUGAAGAGUAAGUAUGCCGAAGCCCAGCGCUGAGAGGGUGGGAGUGGGGCAGUGGUUGGACAGAAGGAACUUCCAGAGUGGGGUGCAGCCUGGAACUGCUGUAGGGAGCACUCCAGUCCUGGACAAACCUCAGAGGAGGAAACACCCACCCUUAUGGGCUGGUGAAACGCAUUAUUUCUAGAGAGAGGAAAAAAACUUCAAACCCCCUUGCUACUGAUACAGUGCAGAGCCUGGCAAGUAGCAGGACUCAAUGGUCAUAAAUUAGGAAGGAGGGGCAGAAAAUCAUGUCCAAAAAAACAAACACAUUCCUUUAUUUUGAGACAAAGAACACUGUAUAAAAAAAAAAUUCCAGUUGUAGAAAUCAGCAUAGACACACAUCAAGUUCAUAUACAUUCCGUACUUGUGGGCCCUGCCCUUCAGGCUACAUACUAGGCAUAGACUCUGCACGUGGGCACUGCCCUUACAGUUACACUCUUAAGAACAGGUUGGCACAGCCCCCCUGCUGGUGCAGCUCUGCGGAGUGACGUCCCAGGAUGAGAGAGGAUGCAGUGUCUGACUACAGACCUCCUUGUGGCAGCUCCACAGAGGCAAGUCCUGGGGGAGAUGCUGGGUCAACCCAAGCAAGCAUGCUGCUUCUGUCCCUGGCUCCCAAGCAGGAAACUGUCUCUUGCUCUUCUGUCAGAGCCAUCCUGGCUCUCCAUGGGAGGGGCAUCUUUGCCAAGCUCAGUGUCCAUCUUGUGACCCCCAAGCCCCUUCCAGUUCGGCUCCCACGGUGCCCUUAGGAGGCCAUGUCUGUCUAGCUUGUUUCUUUGGCUUAAGGGCAGGAAUGGCGGAGAGAAGACUGUCUCCACUUCUUUGUCCAUCCUUCUGACACGGACGUGGGAAUGGCACUGUCAGGCUCUCUGACCUCCUUAGGGUUGAAACCCUAAAUAUCGACCCGUUUUGCGGCUGCUGGGGGGCAGCUUGAGCAUGUGGUGGGAGUGGUUCCCAGGACUGGGGCCUUGGGAGGGGCCCCAGGUAGGUGAGGGAGGCCCGCCUGCCUCCUCAGCCUGGUUCCAGUCCUUACAGUAGAUGGGGUGCACACCCUCACGGGAUUUGCAGCAGCAGGAAUGGCAGGAGCAGCACAGCCCAGGCUAGUGGGAAGAGGCGAGGGGCGGCGCUGUGCCCGAUGCUAUGCAGGACCUGCACCUCCGGGUCAUCUGCGAGACGAGAGGGCAAAGGCCUCCCAGAUCUCUCGACUUGGC